rnacentral:rRNA from 1 species
UACGGGGGGAGCAAGCGUUGUUCGGAUUUACUGGGCGUAAAGGGCGCGUAGGCGGUCAGCACAAGUCAGUUGUGAAAUCUCCGGGCUUAACUCGGAAAGGUCAACUGAUACUGUGCGACUAGAGUGCAGAAGGGGCAACUGGAAUUCUCGGUGUAGCGGUGAAAUGCGUAGAUAUCGAGAGGAACACCUGCGGCGAAGGCGGCUCUCUGGGACGGUACUGACGCUGAGACGCGAAAGCGUGGGGAGCAAACAGG